CAGCAGGCGCGAAACCUUCGCAAUGCGCGUAAGCGUGACGAGGGGACUCUGAGUGAUGUUAGCAUUUUGUUAGCAUCUUUUGCCUAGUGUAAAAAGCUAGGAGAAUAAGGGUGUGGGCAAGACUGGUGGCAGCCGCCGCGGUAACACCAGCGCCUCGAGUGAUACCCACGAAUAUUGGGCCUAAAGCGUUCGUAGCUGGUCUUAUAAGUCCGCUGUGAAAUGUUGGGGCUUCACCUCAACGCGUGCAGUGGAUACUGUAAGACUUGGGAGCAGGGGAGGGAAGAAGUACUUCCGGGGUAGCGGUAAAAUGCGUUGAGCCUGGAAGGACACCCAGUGGCGUAGGCGUCUUCCCAAAAUGCGUCCGACAGUGAGGAACGAAAGCUGGGGGAGCGAAUCGGAUUAGAUACCCUGGUAGUCCAAGCCG
rnacentral:rRNA from 1 species